rnacentral:rRNA from 1 species
CCUACGUGGGGCAGCAGUGAGGAAUAUUGGUCAAUGGACGAGAGUCUGAACCAGCCAAGUAGCGUGAAGGAUGACUGCCCUAUGGGUUGUAAACUUCUUUUAUAUGGGAAUAAAAUGUUCCACGUGUGGGAGUUUGUAUGUACCAUAUGAGUAAGGAUCGGCUAACUCCGUGCCAGCAGCCGCGGUAAUACGGUGGAUCCGAGCGUUAUCCGGAUUUAUUGGGUUUAAAGGGAACGUAGGUGGGUGGUUAAGUCAGUUGUGAAAGUUUGCGGCUCAACCGUAAAAUUGCAGUUGAAACUGGCAGUCUUGAGUACAGUAGAGGUGGGCGGAAGUCGUGGUGUAGCGGUGAAAUGCUUAGA